rnacentral:rRNA from 1 species
CGCCUGCCCUGUGACAAAGGUUCAACGGCCGCGGUAUUUUGACCGUGCAAAGGUAGCGCAAUCACUUGUCCUUUAAAUGAAGACCUGUAUGAAUGGCAUCACGAGGGCUUAACUGUCUCCUUUUUCCAGUCAAUGAAAUUGAUCCCCCCGUGCAGAAGCGGGGAUAAGACCAUAAGACGAGAAGACCCUAUGAAGCUUUAGACACAAGACAGGCCUUGUUAAACACUUCAAAAUAAAGAAAUAAACUAAAAGAAUGCUGUUCCGAUGUCUUUGGUUGGGGCGACCACGGGGAAACAAAAAACCCCCAUGCAGAUUGAGAAAACAAUUCUCACAACCAAGAGCCGCAGCUCUAGUUAACAGAACUUCUGACUUUUUAGAUCCGGCAAUGCCGAUCCACGGACCGAGUUACUCUAGGGAUAACAGCGCAAUCCCCUUUUAGAGCUCCUAUCGACAAGGGGGUUUACGACCUCGAUGUUGGACCAGGACGUCCUAAUGGUGCAGCAGUUAUUAAGGGUUCGUUUGUUCAACGAUUAAAGUCCG